rnacentral:rRNA from 1 species
AUGACCUUUGCCACACUCUCCUUCAAGUACUUUUGGCCAAAGAUGUUCCUCGACGUGGCACGCUUGACCAACAAAUGCUCUACAUGCCACAAAGCUAAGUCAAAAGCACAAUCUCAUGGUUUACACAUGCCGCUUCCAAUUCCAUAUCAACCAUGGGAAGAUAUUAGUAUGGACUUAGUGCUUGGUUUGCCUAGAACUAAAAAUGGAAAGGACUUCCUAUUUGUUGUUGUGGACCGAUUCUCAAAAAUGGCACAUUUCAUCCCAUGCAAUAAGAUAAACGAUGCUUCACAUGUUGCCAAUCUCUUUUCUAGGGAAAUCUUGUGGUUGCAUGGAGUGCCAAGGAUUAUUGUGUCGGACCGCGAUGUCAAUUUCCUAAGCUACUUUUGGAAGACAAUAUGCCCCAAGCUCGGCAUCAAGUUACUAUUCUCGUCGGCCUAUCAUCCCCAAACCGAUGGCCAAAUAGAAGUCACCAGCCGGACGCUAUCUACUCUCCCACGCGUGUUGAUCGAGAAGAACAUCAAGGAGUGGGAGGAGUGCUUACCCAUCGCCGAGUACGCCUACAAUCAAGCUCGACACUCUACUACUGGCAAGUCCCUCUUUGAGGUUGUCUACGGCUUCAACCCAUUGUCCCCAUUGGGACAUUCUUCCUCUUCCACUCCAAGAACGCGCAAACGUGGAUGCUAG